rnacentral:rRNA from 1 species
GAUGAACGCUGGCGGCGUGCCUAAUACAUGCAAGUCGAGCGAACAGACGCUGAUCUUGCUCCUCUGUCGUUUGCGGCGGACGUGUGUGUAACACGUGGAUAACCUCCCUAUAUUUCUGGUAUCACUUCGGGAAACCGGAUCUUAUACCGUAUAAUAUAUUGAUCCGCUUGGUUCAUUAGUUAAUGACGGUUUUUCUGUCUCUUAUAGAUGGUUCCGGGCCGCAUUAGCUUGUUGGUAAGGUAACGGCUUACCAAGGCAACGAUGCGUAGCCGACGUGAGAGGGUGAUCGGCGAAACUGGAAGGGAGACAGGGACAAGAGGACUACGGGAGGAAGCAGAAGGGAAUGGUCGGCAAUGGGGGAAAGCAUGACGGAGCAAGGGCGCGUGAGAGAAGAAGGAGUUGGGAUCGUAAAAAUCUGUUAUUAGGGAAGAACAAAUGUGUAAGGAAAAAUGGACGGAGUGACGGUAACUAAUCAGAAAGCAACGGCUAACUACGUG